rnacentral:rRNA from 1 species
UACGAAGGGGGCUAGCGCUGCUCGGAAUCACUGGGCGUAAAGGGUGCGUAGGCGGGUCUUUAAGUCAGGGGUGAAAUCCUGGAGCUCAACUCCAGAACUGCCUUUGAUACUGAAGAUCUCGAGUUCGGGAGAGGUGAGUGGAACUGCGAGUGUAGAGGUGAAAUUCGUAGAUAUUCGCAAGAACACCAGUGGCGAAGGCGGCUCACUGGCCCGAUACUGACGCUGAGGCACGAAAGCGUGGGGAGCAAACAGG